rnacentral:rRNA from 1 species
UGGGGAAUAUUGGGCAAUGGGCGCAAGCCUGACCCAGCAACGCCGCGUGAAGGAAGAAGGCUUUCGGGUUGUAAACUUCUUUUAAGAGGGACGAAACAAAUGACGGUACCUCUUGAAUAAGCCACGGCUAACUACGUGCCAGCAGCCGCGGUAAUACGUAGGUGGCGAGCGUUAUCCGGAUUUACUGGGUGUAAAGGGCGCGUAGGCGGGUCGGCAAGUCAGAUGUGAAAUGCCGGGGCUCAACCCCGGAGCUGCAUUUGAAACUGUCGGUCUUGAGUGAUGGAGAGGCAAGCGGAAUUCCUAGUGUAGCGGUGAAAUGCGUAGAUAUUAGGAGGAACACCAGUGGCGAAGGCGGCUUACUGGACUGUAACUGACGUUGAGGCUCGAAAGCGUGGGGAGCAAACAGGAUUAGAUACCCUGGUAGU